rnacentral:rRNA from 1 species
AUUGAACGCUGGCGGAAUGCUUUACACAUGCAAGUCGAACGGCAGCACGGACUUCGGUCUGGUGGCGAGUGGCGAACGGGUGAGUAAUAUAUCGGAACGUGCUCAGUCGUGGGGGAUAACGUAGUGAAAAUUACGCUAAUACCGCAUACGAUCUAUGGAUGAAAGCGGGGGAUCGCAAGACCUCGCGCGAUUGGAGCGGCCGAUAUCAGAUUAGGUAGUUGGUGAGGUAAAGGCUCACCAAGCCAACGAUCUGUAGCUGGUCUGAGAGGACGACCAGCCACACUGGAACUGCGACACGGGCCAGACUCCUACGGGAGGCAGCAGUGGGGAAUUUUGGACAAUGGACGCAAGUCUGAUCCAGCCAUUCCGCGUGCAGGACGAAGGCCUUCGGGUUGUAAACUGCUUUUGUACGGAACGAAAAGGUCUCUAUUAAUACUAGGGGCUCAUGACGGUACCGUAAGGAUAAGCACCGGCUAACUACGUGCCAGCAGCCGCGGUAA